UACGAAGGGUGCAAACGUUGCUCGGAAUUAUUGGGCGUAAAGCGCACGUAGGCGGCUUGGUAUGUCGGGUGUGAAAUCCCCGGGCUCAACCUGGGAACUGCAUCCGAAACUGCCUUGCUCGAGUAUGGGAGAGGGAAGUGGAAUUUCCGGUGUAGCGGUGAAAUGCGUAGAUAUCGGAAGGAACAUCAGUGGCGAAGGCGACUUCCUGGACCAAUACUGACGCUCAGGUGCGAAAGCGUGGGGAGCAAACAGG
rnacentral:rRNA from 1 species